AUACGGAGGAUCCGAGCGUUAUCCGGAUUUAUUGGGUUUAAAGGGUGCGUAGGUGGUUUGAUAAGUCAGCGGUGAAAGUUUGCAGCUUAACUGUAAAAAUGCCGUUGAAACUGUCGGACUUGAGUGUAAAUGAGGUAGGCGGAGUGCGUGGUGUAGCGGUGAAAUGCAUAGAUAUCACGCAGAACUCCGAUUGCGAAGGCAGCUUACUAAGCUACAACUGACACUGAAGCACGAAAGCGUGGGGAUCAAACAGGAUUAGAUACCCUGGUAGUCCACGCAGUAAACGAUGAUUACUAGCUGUUUGCGAUACACAGUAAGCGGCACAGCGAAAGCGUUAAGUAAUCCACCUGGGGAGUACGCCGGCAACGGUGAAACUCAAAUGAAUUGACGGGG
rnacentral:rRNA from 1 species